rnacentral:tRNA from 1 species
NNGAUAGAAGCCGAAUCGGUUAGGCACAUUGUUUGGGUCAAUGGAUUACGAGGAUCGAAACCUUGCUGUCUGA